rnacentral:rRNA from 1 species
UACGUAGGGUGCGAGCGUUGUCCGGAAUUACUGGGCGUAAAGAGCUCGUAGGUGGUUUGUCGCGUUGUUCGUGAAAACUCACAACUCAAUUGUGGGCGUGCGGGCGAUACGGGCAGACUGGAGUACUGCAGGGGAGACUGGAAUUCCUGGUGUAGCGGUGAAAUGCGCAGAUAUCGGGAGGAACACCGGUGGCGAAGGCGGUUCUCUGGGCCUUACCUGACGCUGAGGAGCGAAAGCGUGGGGAGCGAGCAGG